GAUGUUAUAGCUCAAUGGUUAGAGUACAUGCUUAUCAUUCAUGAGGUUCUGGGUUCAAUCCCCAGUACCUCCA
rnacentral:tRNA from 1 species